UACAGAGGGUGCAAGCGUUAAUCGGAAUUACUGGGCGUAAAGGGCUCGCAGGCGGUUAGUUAAGUCGAAUGUGAAAUCCACGGGCUCAACCUGUGGUGGUCAUUCGAUACUGGCUAACUAGAGUGGGAUAGAGGAGAGUGGAAUUUCCGGUGUAGCGGUGAAAUGCGUAGAUAUCGGAAGGAACACCAGUGGCGAAGGCGGCUCUCUGGAUCCUUACUGACGCUCAUGAGCGAAAGCGUGGGGAGCAAACAGG
rnacentral:rRNA from 1 species